CCAUCUCAAAAAUAUUUGUGUGAAAUGCCGUUGUUUCCUCCCAUUAUUUUUGGACUUCUUGUUUGGGGUUUUUACAUGAGGAAGUCAUAUCUACUGUAUGUUAGAAAAUUGAAGAUUAGACAGUCCUAGACAAGCUAAAUCUCUCCCUGCACUAUACAUGGUGGAUUCUUGUUAUUUUGCACAAGUUGGUAGUGAUAGUUGAUGUUAACCAGUUAAGCUUUGGUGCAUUUAUUAGUGAGAAUUUGGCUAUUGACCUGAGAUUUCUUGAUUCUCUUUGGUCAUGUAUUUUUUUCCCUGAUUUCUUGUAGUUUGUGUUUUUCAGCUGGUUUAAACAUGUAUUUUCCUUGCCAUCUCUUUUCUUGUUAGACCCUUUUCCCUUUGUUUUGUUGAUUUUUAUUGUAUGAGCAAGAUUUGGGUGUGCAGUGGAAAUGAAAGAUACGACACUCAUCUGCAAAAUGUUACUGCAGCAGUAUCAAGCAAAGCACAGGUUGAGGGAGCCUAGUUGAACAAAACAAUCUGGACAGGCAAACAUUUUUGUCUGUCAAGCUCUCAACAAGUUGCAAGGCAACGAAGCAUGCAUGCCCGAUUUAGUUGAAAUUUGCCCCCACCAAUUAAGUUUAAAGAGGAAGCUCUGCUGCCUGCUUGGAGAUAUAACCUUAUACAAAUGAGCAGGAAUUGUGUAAAACCCCUUAAAUUGGGUGUUCAGGGAGGAAAUGUACUGUUUUAUGGACACACCACUCUGUUGCUUCUCUUC